AAGCCGAUUAUGUUCGCGUUAAUUAAGUGGUUGGAAGAUGUAAAAUUCUCAAUUCUGCCAACUGAACAUAUACGAGAUUUUAAUGAGGAUGAAUAAUUAGCCGGCAUGGAGGAAACGGACCUUUAUUUCGUGGAGUGGCGACAAGAAGCCAAGGCGGGUGGCCAGUCUAAGAAGCCUCCAUCAUCAAGCUAGCAGAAAUCCUACCUCUCCUUCUGGCUACAGAGUACUUACCAAGCCCAUGAAAUCGAAUGCAGAUCUUCCUAAUGUGAGAUUUACAUAAAUAUGUCAAAGUCUCAACCUCAUGCUGCCCUCCCCCAUCCUCCUAAACCUGUGGAUACAAAUGCAGAUUUCCUUAAUGUUCAAUGGUGCGUGUUCUUCUAAUGGCCGCCUUCCCACUGGAGGUUUUGAUCCACAGCAAUUUAAAAGGAGGACAGAGCAAAACGGACAUCGGCGCAGAGUGAAGAACUGCCCUUGAUAAGGACACUAUGACAGCCAUAUAUAGUAAGUGAAGACUUUCUGUGUAUCUA